GUUAUAAUAGCAUAAAUUAAUGCCUCAGAUUUAGGCUCUGAAGAUAAAUUUUUUAUUUUUAUAAUA
rnacentral:tRNA from 1 species